rnacentral:rRNA from 1 species
AUGUGCUUGCUYAMACUUUAUAUGCCUGUCGGGCUAACMGWUCWGGAGCUUGCUYSUUUGACKUUGGCSGCGGWCGGGKGWKUAAMACGUGGGURACCUACCUAUAAGACUGGGAUGGCUUCSGGAAACCGGAGCUAAUACCGGAUAACAUUUGGAACCGCAUGGUUCUAAAGUGAAAGAUGGUUUUGCUAUCACUUAUAGAUGGACCCGCGCCGUAUUAGCUAGUUGGUAAGGUAACGGCUUACCAAGGCAACGAUACGUAGCCGACCUGAGAGGGUGAUCGGCCACACUGGAACUGAGACACGGUCCAGACUCCUACGGGAGGCAGCAGUAGGGAAUCUUCCGCAAUGGGCGAAAGCCUGACGGAGCAACGCCGCGUGAGUGAUGAAGGGUUUCGGCUCGUAAAACUCUGUUAUUAGGGAAGAACAAAUGUGUAAGUAACUGUGCACAUYUUGACGGUACCUAAUCAGAAAGCCACGGCUAACUACGUGCCAGCAGCCGCGGUAAUACGUAGGUGGCAAGCGUUAUYCGGAAUUAUUGGGGCGUAAAAGCGCCSCGUAGGCGGUUUYUUAARUCUGAUGUG